UACAGAGGGCGCGAGCGUUGUCCGGAAUCACUGGGCGUAAAGGGCUCGUAGGCGGCCAACUAAGUCAGACGUGAAAUCCCUCGGCUUAACCGGGGAACUGCGUCUGAUACUGGAUGGCUUGAGUUCAGGAGAGGGAUGCGGAAUUCCAGGUGUAGCGGUGAAAUGCGUAGAUAUCUGGAGGAACACCGGUGGCGAAGGCGGCAUCCUGGACCGAUACUGACGCUGAGGAGCGAAAGCCAGGGGAGCAAACGGG
rnacentral:rRNA from 1 species